GUGAGGAAUUUUCCGCAAUGGGCGAAAGCCUGACGGAGCAAUGCCGCGUGAAGGAUGAAGGCCUAUGGGUUGUAAACUUCUUUUCUCAGAAAAGAAUUAUGACGGUAUCUGAGGAAUAAGCAUCGGCUAACUCUGUGCCAGCAGCCGCGGUAAGACAGAGGAUGCAAGCGUUAUCCGGAAUGAUUGGGCGUAAAGCGUCUGUAGGUUGUUUAAAAAGUAUUCUGUCAAAGAUUAGGGCCUAACCCUAGAUAGGCAGAAUAAACUUUUAAGCUAGAGUUUGGUAGAGGCAGAGGGAAUUCCCGGUGGAGCGGUGAAAUGCGUAGAUAUCGGGAGGAACACCAAAGGCGAAGGCACUCUGCUGGGCCAAUACUAACACUGAGAGACGAAAGCGAGGGGAGCAAAUGGGAUUAGAAACCCGGGUAGUCC
rnacentral:rRNA from 1 species